AUGAACGCUAGCGACAGGCUAACACAUGCAAGUCGAGGGGUAACAGGGUAGCAAUACCGCUGACGACCGGCGCACGGGUGAGUAACGCGUAUGCAACCUGCCUAUAACUGGGGAAUAGCUCCCUGAAAGGGGGAAUUAACACCGCAUAACACUAUUGAUCGCAUGGAUUGGUAGUUAAAUGUAGCGAUACAGGUUAUAGAUGGGCAUGCGUGACAUUAGCUAGUUGGUGAGGUAACGGCUCACCAAGGCUACGAUGUCUAGGGGUUCUGAGAGGAAGGUCCCCCCACACUGGUACUGAGACACGGACCAGACUCCUACGGGAGGCAGCAGUGAGGAAUAUUGGUCAAUGGGCGCAAGCCUGAACCAGCCAUGUCGCGUGCAGGAAGAACUGCCCUAUGGGUUGUAAACUGCUUUUAUAGUAGAAGAAACACAUCUACGCGUAGAUGUCUGCCAGUAUACUAUGAAUAAGCAUCGGCUAACUCCGUGCCAGCCGCGGC
rnacentral:rRNA from 1 species